GUUCUUGGCAUCAGGGGGAUGUAACAUUCGUGAACCCAUCAGCAUGCGUCUCUGUCGACUGCACCUCAUCUUCCUGACUGACGACAUUUAUCUGUAUCUUAAAGAGGGUGAGGAGUUUAUGUUUAUCGUUAUCAGGCAACGUACAGCGACUGGAGGUGGAGCGACAGUGCCCCCUAGUUCAACGCACGACACGAACAUCUGUAUCCGCAUCUGCACGAGGCCCGUCGUCCAGAAACAGAACUUUUGCCCUCAACGUCGCGGCAAAAUAAAUUAGAUUGGUGUAAUAUAAUGAUGAGAUUUGCACCGUUUGUUUGCUCCUGUUGUGUCACAGUGUAGCGGAGAUCACAUCGCAUCGCCGUCAGGAAUACAUUAGGCCUGACCUUCCUGAAUACGUCUCUGCUGAUGAAUACAUUUGUGGAAAGUGGAGUCAUGCGUGCACAUGAAUAGGCUUUAUUUUCGACAGACACGUCCUAAUUAGUCCUAGGGUCAGCUCUUCACAGCGUCGCUAAUUCCUCAGAUGUCACCAGGCCCGAUGACGUCCUCCCACCAUCCCUCGCACGGCCCAAACAUUGAGUCAUCGUUGCACACUCAGGGGAGAAGAAGCACAAACUGAAACUGCUGCUGCAAAAAAAAAGGUCUUUACUUUGUCUGUCCUUGAAUGAAUCAAGACAAACACAGACGAGCUGGUUAGAUUUAAUGUUCUUCUGCCUGGAAUCUAUUAUUUCAGAUGGAAGCUCACAGAUUGCACCCCCCCCCCCCCCACCCUCCCCGCUUUCUUUGGUCAAAGAAGUCUCAAGGCGGAUUUAGAAACUGCUCAGCCGACUCCUGACUGUCUUUUGAACCACAUGAGAGGACUUUGUGCCUGGAGCAUAGCUGGCGUGUUGAGGUUUCCACCAGAGAUGGUCAUGUUCAGACCUGAGACAUUCUGAUGCUUACACAGAAACUGACAUGUCAUGCAAAUGACUUUAACCACAUCAGGUGCAGCAGUCAUCUUUGAACUGAGUGAAUAUUUGUCCGCGAGAUCUUCUCCAGCAGCGACCAUUCACCCCCCCCCAGACCAUUCAACAAUCUGUAUGAGGCCACCAGAUCCAAAUUAUUCUUUUUUGAAAGGAUCAGUGAAAUGAGAGCUUUGAUUAAAAUGUGGGGGAGGCAUCCCAAAAUACUUGCUUCUCAUCGGACCCAUCGUUUAUCUGGAAGAAGAACUUAAUGUCAUCAUCUGGCAUUUUCCUUCAAACCCUCGGAAUGAGGCCUGUUCUAGGGGGCCACCACCAUCGCCAUCGGUCCAACGUGACUUAUUUGUGUUGUUGCUGAAAACUCAACAUGUUUGCAGAUUUUUUCAAGCGCUCCACAGAAACAGUGCUUGAACUCCAGGUAUUCAUUUUCUUGUCAGAUAUAGAACAAGGACAACUUAGUAGACGAAAAGAAGGGGAAAAAAAGAAUGGAAUAAGUAAAUGUUAACAAGUAAGGCAGGGUCAGUAUGGAGCUUGACAUCAGUAGUCAUCACCACACACACGGCCGUUAGUCUCCUUCACGUCUCAGCCUGCAGACGGUCCAGGCCUCCUGACUUGCACUGGAAACCUUUCUCUGUGUUCCGUUUCUCUACAGACAUUCAACAUUGUGUUCACACACAAGCUCUGAAUUCAGUCUGUUCUCUGCCGCGGCGGAGACAGGCCUCGACUUCAAUGCGACCCGUGCUGUUCUCUUGUCGCGACACGUUCAAACCCUGCCCGCCGCACUUCUGCAGUCUCAGGGACACCACCACAACCGCAGCGCAGGAGAGCUUUGUGUGUAAAUAUAGAGGUGUUGGAUCAUGGCAGAGUCAAGGUGGGCCUCUGGUGGGAUGAGUCACACUGAGGUGGAUUGGGACAUUAGAUGAAGCGAGGCACUGGCAGACGCUGUUGAGACUUUAGCUGGAGUGAAGGUUGAACAGUUCAGUCCAGGGCCCCCUCUGUACAUCACUAGAGUCAUUGCGUCGGAUCUUGUCUCUGGGAUUCAUUCAGCGGAUUGUCAUGUAAAUGUGCACAAAUCCUCGUUCUGAUGAUAAAUCUCAGAUUUAGAAAAAAAAAAAAACAAUGCACAGGAAGAAUACGAGCAACAUCAAAUCAAAACUUGAUCAGAAGACAGAAAACAGGUCAUUAUACAAACAAGGUGUGACACAAAUGGCUCAAAGGGGAGAGUCAGUAUGGCUGUUUCUGACUGACACAGAGAGGAGGACUGGAGGGAUUAUCGCUUGUGCAGAUCUGUCCGUACCUCCUAGAGAAAAUGCUUCUUUUGCCAGCUCCAAUAAAGAGAAGUCACGUGUACAAAUUGCCACGUCGAUGGUAUCGAUUAAUUGGAAAAUUAAAUUUGAUUUCAGUUUUGAGGCGUUUUUUAAUGGACCUUAAUUUGCUUAAUUGUUUUUCCCGAUAUGUUUUUUGUGUCUGAAUGUGUAUCUCUCUAAGUCUUUUGUGCUGUUCUAUGCUUGGAAGGUAAUUCACCAGCUCCUAAUCGUCAUUUUCCAGGUUGAAUUCAGUCAGCGGCCGAUGUCCAACAAGGCUGAGACUGCUCACUGUUGGUCGCCGUAACCAACCUGCCCGCUGUAAUGGUGAAUUCGUGAAAGGUCAUCAUUUUCUGCAGGAUGCAGCUGCUUUGUGGUGAAAAACACCUUGUUAAUUCCCCCACGAUGUAUUCUGCUGCUGGCAACUGUUCAUUUCAAGGGAAUAUAACACUGCACGAAUGCAUUUCACGUGUGGAACAUCAGGCCUUGGAAUUUCAGGGAGCCAAAGUAAGCACUCCAUAAUAUGAAUAGAGAAACACAGAUGUGUCUAAUCCACAAUAAAAUCCCCACACUGUAGAACAGUGGUGUUAGAAGUGGCCUCAGUGAUCAAUCGUAAAAAAACAAAGAAUGUUUAAGAUCAUCUAAAUUGAAUAAUGCAUGUGCAGAUUGUACUUUUAAAAUAUUCUCAGAUGGAGACCGUGCACUCUGGCAGUUAAGGUGUCGAGAGAGCACACAAAGACUCAGGAUAAGGUUAAAAGGCUUUUUUAUUUAUUAUUAUUCAAAUAUCAAGCUGAAAGUCAGCAACAACUGUCACCCUGUCUCCUAAAAAUACAUUUUCUAUUACUAAAUUGUUCUCUCAGUUAUGUUUUGAUGGAAAUGUAUUUUUGCCGCCUGGAUUUUUUCCUGUUGAGAAACUGCAGGUCAUGCAGGGAUUUAAGUCAUGUCAUCAAAUUCAGUGGACUGAUAUUAACGGGCCUUUUUCACAGCAGACAUUUUGACAGUGAGCCAGCAUGAAGUAUACCACGACCUCCAAAUGGAAGUAGCCAAUUCUUAUUCGGCGCAUCUUUGAAAUUAUUAUUUACUCCUGCGCUGUGACAUCUUCAAAUGUGUAAAAAGAUAAGAAUCAGCAACUGGAGACAUCUAGUGGACAGAUGAGAAAUGACAGGAAGUAGAAAGUCAAUAAAAACAUUAAAAACCAAGACAAAUUUCCCACAUGGAAUACAAAUAAGUUAAAUAAGUUAUGUCUGUGAUCAGGUCAGUCUAUCAGCGUGGUGUAGUACAAACAAUAUUAAUCUUGUGAUUAUAUGUCUUUUAACAAGUACAUUAUUGGAAUUAAAAACACCACAGACUAAUGUUUUAGUGUACAUGAGGAGUGUUAAGAUAAAAAUAACCCAAUGCCCUAGAAAGAAAAAUAAGGAUAUAAAAGUUACUACUGUCCACUAAUCAUUAACAGUUUUUGAACUCUCUCACACUCAGGGGAUCUCCGGCAUUUGUUUUAGAAUAUGUUAUUAUAUUAUCUAAAAGACAAGAAUCAGCAACUGGAGGCAACUAGUGGACAGGUGAGGUAUGACAGAAAGUAGGAAGUCAAUGAAAACAUCAUGUUUUUGUUUCAGCAAAGACAUUUCUCAAGCUGCUUUCAGACAUGAAAAUGUCUGGAAAAUUGGGUGGGGGCAUUUUUUUCGGAGUUUAACGUUCACACAUUAUGAACGCAGCAGGAUUAUUGUGUGAGUCCGACGUGUUAACGCCAAUGGAAAGAAUUACGGAACAUUCUGCUGCAUCUGGGUAGAGCAGGAGACGGAACAUGACAAUAAUUCUUCUGUGGAGAGCAGUGUUUUUGUUUAUUAUUAGUUUUUGGAGAUUAUCCUGCAGUAUUCUCACAUUUUCUGGACAUUUUUCUAGGGGGCUGGCAGGAGAGGUUCCGGGGCAACAUUUGAAGACACUUGUGUUCCCACAUACAGCCCCUUUUGGAAAAUUUCAAGGACAUUUCGGGAGCUCAGUGCAUGUCUGGACACAGCUUAUGUUUCCCACAAGAACGAGCCGACCGACUUCAAAGAAGCGUACUGAAAUUUGCACAGAUAAGAAUAAGCAGUUUGAUGUCAGUCUUUUAACCCUUUACUGUGAAACUUAACCGACAAAGUUACACAUCAAUGUCAUGUCUUACAUUGAAUGAACUGAAGUUGAAAGACUUUGUGACAGUGUGAAUAAAAGAUUCUUCAGC